GUAGGUGAACCUGCGGAAGGAUCAUUAUCACGUUUAAUCCACGUAAUAAACCCUUUCUGAAAAAUAAGCCGUUUGCAUGUGAACCGGUUUGUAGGAUGUUGGAAGUUAGUGAAUAGCGAGCGUUCGUCCUAUGAGACUGUAAUUUGAACACAGUUGAAAUAGUAAAAAGGGGAUAUAACCUUUCUUAGUGUUAUGUUUGAGUAAACCCCUGACGUGAAUGCUUUCGGUCCGACAUCAACUACAAUCUGCAGUAGCAUGCAAAUCGAGGCGCGUCAUAACUACACUACAAAAAUAAAAUUUUAACCCUUUUGAUAAAUUGAACUAAUCGUUCUCUACCCCGCUUAUAAACGUGGGAUUGAACAAAUUAUUAAAAUAGAACAACUCUUAGCAACGGAUGUCUUGGUUCUC
rnacentral:misc_RNA from 1 species